GUCUCAGCAAAGGGAACCAUGGGAAAGAUUUCCCCCUGACGAGGAGGGAGUCUCCCGACCCGUUCUUUCCCUCCUGGACGUGCCAGGGUAAGGCGAGGGUGCUGGGGGCCUGCAGCUGGGCGAGAAAAGGGCCGAGUGCCGAGAGAAUUGUGGCGGUGCCUAUCCAGCCCCUGCUGUCAAACAGAAACAUCUAUGGUCCCGGUAAGGGUGCCACGCCCGGUCCACCAGACACAGACAUCAAAUAGCCUUACCUUGGUGAGAUUCAAGGCUGUCUGCUCCGAGAGGGACUUACUGGCAAACAGCCCAAGCAGAAGAACAUCAGCAAGGGGGACCAAGGAAGAUGUGUCUGCUCACCACGGGGCUUGCUGUGGAUGUCAUGAAGAGGCUUGGCAGCGUUGAAGACAAUAAAGCAUGCUUUCCUGGAAGAAACAAUGCUGGAUUAAGGACUAAAACAUGGUCACUUUUUUCACCACGAGGAAGACCUGUCCUUGUUAAAAAUGUACUGGCUUCAGACACAUGGAAGAGAGUCUGAGAAUGUUUUGAGUAGGAAUGUUGCUGGAGAUAAAUUAUGGGCUAAGAAAUCAGCUGACUGAGUCGACCGUAUAGAUUUUCCCAGGUCACAUUACUUUUCCAUUUGUAUUCUCAAUCGCUUUUGAACACCCUUCAUGCAAGUCAGCAUAUCAAAAGAUGAUUUUAUACAAGGAUUACCGAUUUCAAAUAAAUAAAGAACCAAAAGAAAUAGAUUUCAAUUGCAUCCAGACUGGUUGGAGAUAAAAUGAGGAGUGCUACAACUCGCUGGGCCAGCACAGACAGGAGCCCUGGGAGCGCUCUCCUCUGAGAUCGAUGAAGUGAGAAUAGGCCCCAGUAAAGCAGUGGAGAAAACUGUCUUCCUGAGCCCCCUCUAGCCCAAGGAUUCCAGCUAUUCUUUGCACUCAGCCCCCAUGGGGUUAAUGAUGAAUUAUUACAAACAAUGAAGACAUUUAAGGCUGAAGACUAAGCCAUGAUUUGCUGUUCUCUGCCUGUUCACCCCCAACUAUUUCUAAUCCCACUAUUUCCUGAUGAGAACACACACUUAACCAGAUAUUCUACUUCAUUUUUGGAAAAUCUCUUGAAGUUGCUUUGGAUGAGCUGAGGAAAUGACAUCAUCACCCCUUGCUGGCUGCAGGAGUGACUGAGCCCUUGGGUUUGGGUGGGGUUGGGCUGCUGGUGAACGCAGAAGGUGUGGCGCUGCCGAGAGAACUGGACCCCAGAACCGCUCUGUUCUCCAAGUCAGAGUGACAUUCACUCCUCAGGUGCCAAUGAGUUACAGAGGAGUCAUGUCAAACUCACAUUUAACUCGUGUGUGUCCACAAAGCAGAGUGAGGGAUAGUGAAAAUCGGUCCAGCGAUCCUGCCAACGCUUGCAAGCGAUGACCAUGGAGACUGGGGUGAAAAUGAGAAUCUGCCAGGUCCUCAGUCGGUCCCAGUUCCCACGUGUUGAGUGUGUUUCCAGUGCCCAAAGGUACAUGCUUUCCGAUUACACGUAUCUGAACAUAACCUUCUUCCUCCUCUACAGAAAGAGCUGCUGUCCAUUCCAGUGGUAAGGGAGAGGGGACACCUGGCCAGGGUGACAGACGGUCAGCACUGUGCCUUUGUAUCAGGAAAGGCCACCACACCUGGACGGACCGGUCAGCAAAUGGUGCCAGCUCUGGCUCAUGAGAUUAGAGGAGGUGUCACCUCUGCCCAGGUCACUCAGAAAAAAGCCCCCUCUGGGCACCUACAGCCCCAGCACAGCUUCAAAUGCAGACAGGUCUUCAUGUAAAGAAAGACUUCUACCUACUUGUGUGGCCAUGUCCCCACCGAGGCCCGGCCUGGCUGGGAGCAGACUGGAUUUCAGUUCCAGUUGUCACUCUGCAUGGCUGCCCUGAACUCGGCUGUGUCAGACUCACUGAGCAGUGGUACACGGGGCCCCACACAGGCCUUCCAGGGACUUCAAGAGCCAUUCUCCUAUACAUGCUUUACGUCGUAUGCCUUGUCUUCAGACCAGGUCACCAGGUGCAAUGGGAUUCUGGUCGAUCCAGUUCUGGUUCAGUUCUGGUUCUGGCGAUGAGGGUUUGCUCUGACAAGAACAAGAACCAGAAACAAGGGCACCUCUUUCCAGUGUUACUAAAACAAGUAAACUGUCAGGAGGGCAGGCUUUGUUUGAAGCUUUUCAUAACAUAAAUACAAGUGAUAUCUUGGUUUCAAAGUGACAACUCUAAACCCUAGGCAAUAAAAUGCAGUAGAUUGGUCCAUUUUUUUCUUCUGAAGGAUGCUAUCAUUUGCCCUCUGUCAGUGCUAGGAGAGGGAAUGCAUUCCGUUUUCCUGGGUGGAAGCUGGAAGAUGUAAAUGUCGAAGGCUGUAGUGGACACAGGCUGUUUUGCCUGCACAGCAUCUGUUCCUUCUGAGACCAGCAUACCUGAUUGUCCCCUGGGAGUCCCCUCUCCUCCACAUGUUCUGGACAAGGCUGACCUCACUGUCAUUUCAGGGGGGCUGGGGAUGGGGGACUAUGACAGAGACCUAAGCCAGUCAGCAUAUUCUGCACUCCCAGACACAGAAAAUGACUCAUGGAAGGUGCAUGGAUAAAUGUGAGCCAAUGUGAGUCCUGCCCAGCCCCAGCAUGGGAAGUGAUAAGAGAAAGAAGCUCCCUCUUUUCCACAGAGGCUGCUGAGGGCAGAGGAUGCAACACUAGAAGCAUGACAGCCACCUUGGCACCAGGAGGAGGCUAACAAAAGAGGGCAGGGUCAAACGCAGAGAUUCCCACUGACAUCAUGUGAGCACCUGGACCAAACCAGUUCUGAAGCAGUUUCCCCUAGAGCUUCCAUUGCAAGAGAUGAAAAAGAAACACAUGGCUUUCUUGGCUAAAGUUAUCUUGAAUUGGGUUUUCUGUCAUGCAAUCAAUAGGGUCCUAACAACUGAGGGACUCAACGUCAGAAGCGGAACGAGGGCAGGCAGCGUCUGGAACUCAGGCCUUUCUCUCCUGGUCCUGACAUCCGCUGUGCUGGGUCCCAAUGAAGCAGCAGCCACAUGUUUGUGAGUGCCUACAUGGGGUCUGUCAUUUUUUAGCAGAUUAUUUUAUGUGGAAAUAAAGAAACCCAUUGGGGAAAAAAUGGUGCAUUCACUUGUGGGCAGCAUGAAAAUGGAAUUGUAGGGGAAAGAUGAAUAUUAAUUUUAAAAACAGCUAAG
rnacentral:lncRNA from 1 species